CGGGUGAGUAACACGGGGGGAACCUACCCUUCCGUGGGGGAUAACAUUUGGAAACAGAUGCUAAUACCGCAUAACCAUUCAGACCACAUGGUCUGAAUGUAAAAGACGGCCUUUGGCUGUCACUUUUGGACGGACCCGCGGCGUAUUAGUUAGUUGGUAAGGUAACGGCUUACCAAGACAAUGAUACGUAGCCGACCUGAGAGGGUAAUCGGCCACAUUGGGACUGAGACACGGCCCAAACUCCUACGGGAGGCAGCAGUAGGGAAUCUUCCACAAUGGACGAAAGUCUGAUGGAGCAACGCCGCGUGAGUGAAGAAGGUUUUAGGAUCGUAAAACUCUGUUGUUGGAGAAGAACAGGGACUAGAGUAACUGUUAGUCCUUUGGCGGUAUCCAACCAGAAAGCCACGGCUAACUACGUGCCAGCAGCCGCGGUAAUACGUAGGUGGCAAGCGUUGUCCGGAUUUAUUGGGCGUAAAGCGAGCGCAGGCGGUUUUUUAAGUCUGAUGUGAAAGCCUUCGGCUUAACCGAAGAAGUGCAUUAGAAACUGGGAAACUUGAGUGCAGAAGAGGACAGUGGAACUCCAUGUGUAGCGGUGAAAUGCGUAGAUAUAUGGAAGAACACCAGUGGCGAAGGCGGCUGUCUGGUCUGUAACUGACGCUGAGGCUCGAAAGUAUGGGGAGCGAACAGGAUUAGAUACCCUGGUAGUCCAUACCGUAAACGAUGAAUGCUAAGUG
rnacentral:rRNA from 1 species